rnacentral:misc_RNA from 1 species
GAAUCGAAGAAACUAAAUCAUAUAUUUCUUUUAAAUAUAAAAUCAAAAUUAAGAACUAAAUAAUAAUUUAUUUAAAAAAGAAAAAAGCAAUUUUACUUGGGAAAAAAAAAGCGCAUUUUAGCACCACCUUAGGCUUAGGUUUCUAGGAGAUAUACUGACAAAAGCAAGAAAUGAGAGAAUGCUCAUCACUUUCAAGACCCAAUUAACAAAAUUGGACCAAUCCCAAGUAUUUGCCGGUCAUCCUUCGACUUAGUAGCUAAUCAUAUGGCCACAGCUUCAAAACCAAAUUUUAUGGAUAGCCUUCUCUAAAAUGGAAAUGAGCUUAUCAAGAAAAUAGAAUGAUAACAAAAGUGGCUCCUCCUUUGAAAAUUCUCUAAUCAGACCCUCCAGAAACCCUACUUGGAGUAACUCCACUUGAUUCAGCAUUGAGAGUGCUGCUAGGGGCGACAGUAAGAUUCCCAACAUUGACAGUAUUGCUAGUUCCAGCACUUUUUGGCUCUGGAAUCAUUUUUUGGGCAGCUAGAGAAGUAUUAGCAUGUGAAACAGGGCCUGCUAUGACAACAUCAGCAUUUUGUUGCUUAUGCAUUGUUUUAGCAGCAGAAACAGUAAUACUUUGGAUGCUAGUUGUAGAAGGAUCCAUACUGGUUUUAUGCUGGUCACUAGUUCGCACGUCAUUCGCAGCAUGAAGUUGCUGCAGCCUAUAGUCUGUUUCAGGCCUACAACAAACCUUUCUGAGCGGCACAAUUUCCUGAGGAUCAAUAGAUAUUGAGAACUACACAAUUAACAACAUCACAAAAUGCAUUGUUAUGAUCAUUUAAGAACCAAAUAGACAUCACAGAUUACAGAAUGCAUCAUCAUUUGGAUGUUGCUGUCCUUAAACGAAUUGUAUUAUAGGCGAAACUUCUAUUAAGUCAAUAGCUACACACAUUCAAAAGGCUAAAUUGGUUGCACUGAUGCAUAAAAACAUAUUAUGGCUUCAGCACGAAACAGUACCCAUCAAAA